UCUAAUUUGGCAGAAAUUAUGCAAUAAAUUUAGAAUUUAUUUAUGAAAAAAUUCAAUUAGAA
rnacentral:tRNA from 1 species